UUGGGGAGCAGCCUGGGAUUUGGGGAGCAGCCUGGUCGUACUGGGCUGAGCAAACCCCAUGGCACAGCCGAGCGUGUGGGCUGAGAUGUGGGGCGCGGGGAGAUAUAAUCGGGUUGUGAGCUGCAAGCAGAGAGCAGAUUAAUGCGGAUUUGAACUCCUUGCUGAGGCAAUUGGAGGGGACGUGUUCAGGCGUUUGCAGUGUGUUUGUAUUUGGUAUAAGCUUUCCUCUCCCGCAUAUGCACGUUGGAUUUAAUAGCACAAAUGCAGACCUUUGCCUUCGCCUUUCAGAGGAACAUCUCAUCACCACGGAGGUGUAGUCACUGAUACAGCUCCAUGCAGUCACAAGACCCAGUGCAAUAGAGACAGAACAUAAACAGCAUUUGUAUGCACAUCUGAACGACAGUAAUAAUGCAGGCAGACACAGGCAAAUUCAGCUGAAUUUGUGCCUUCUGAAUAUGCUGUGUUUUUUAGCUCCAUUGUUUUUGGGGUUUUCUUGGGUCAGCCCUAUUGUGCCAUUUUCCUGUAGACCUUCAGAUGCCCUCUCCUUCUCAGUAUGCCCUGUGCUAGAACACUGUAUUCAAGUGGUUAAAUUUCCAUGAUGCAAGUAGAAACAAACCUUAUAAACCUUGUCAGAGGAAGAAGAUUCAGUGGUAUUAGAUGGCAGGGUUUAAAAUGUUUAAAGCCUAAAUGGGGAAAAGAGCUUGCAAGGCUUUUCUCCUACAGGUUGAAGUACCAAAAAGGCAUGGACCUGUGGUUCUGAAACUCCUGCUUAAGGUCCAGCAGGGCCAGACUUCCAGAUGUGGUGUGGCAUGCUCUCUGCUGUGUAUCUGUCUCUCAGGGUGGGCAGGAAGAAAACCAGAGAGGACUAGGCUGCACCUGAUGCUGGCCAAGCCACUAUUUUUUGCUGUCAUCAGAGAGGUCAUCUGGUGCAUUAUUUUAUCUACGUGUUGCUUAGUUUCCAAGUUAUGUAGGAGGCCUAGCAAAUGGAGCUGCUGUAACUGUGACUAGUUUUCAGAAAACAGGAAUGUCGGAGGAAAUGAAUACCCAGUUUGUAGAAGCACUGGAAGACACAGAAAUGUGAAUAGUCUGCCUGGUCCUCAUUACUUCUCUCUCUACUACACUUUACCUGAGAAAUUAUGGGAAAAAAAGAAGAGCUCUUCAGGAAUCAGUCAGGAAGAUCAAAAGACAAACUAAGAUGCCUGAGAAAUAAGGCAGGAACUGAUAUUGUCAGAAAUCCAUCAAAUCACAGUGAAAAACAGAGCAACAUGAAUUGCUGAAUAUUGGCAGAUAAAGAAAGAGAAAAGGCCUGGAUAAUUUCCAUGAAUUAGCCACAGAAGUAGACUCAAAGUGAGAAGGAAAGAGAAGCAUUUAAAGGACAGAGAUAACAUUAUACUGGAGAAUUUGGCGAAAGGAAAAUGUCAGCUCCAAAGCUGGUGCUUCUGGAUAGUAGAAUUAAAAUAAGGCACAUCAGAAAGAUUGACUCAAGAGUGGACCAAGACAGAAACUGAGAUGCUUCAAAAGAAAUGUGGAUAUACUGGGGGGAAAAUAGUGUUUACUGAAAUAACCAUAAUUUAUAAAGAGAAGAAACUUGGAUUAAAGAAUAAUACUCAUAAAAAAAUUACAUACUAAUAAUACCAGCAUUUAGUUCAUGAAUCCUGGAAACUAAAGUAGGAGCCAGUUGGGAGAAAAGGUAAAUAAUGUUAUAUUGUGUGUCUCUACUAUUACUUUAAUCAGCCUGACUUUUAUGUUAAGAACACUUAAGCUAGAAAAACCUGUUCAUCUCCUGUACAAAUAUUAGUAUAAAAUAGAUGUCUCAGAUCAAUACCACAUCCACUAGCCAUUAAACACCUUGUAAUCAAACAAAAUAUUUAGUUUGUUUCAAAGCCAAUCCCAUGCAGUCAAGCUUAUUUCGUGUUUUAUCAACACUAAAGGAUACCCUGUCAUCUCUUAUCUGUCUUCUCAAGGAAAAAGAACUCCUUUUUAAUUAGGUCAUUGCAGUCCUAAUGUGCUGCUGCUCUCAUAUAGAUUCUUCCUGGUAUAUUACAGUGGAUAAAUACAGUAUAGCAUUUAAGGAGGUUUGAUGCUGGCAUGGAUAUAUUAAUAUGCAGGCUGUAGAAGAGGUAGAGAUGACAGACUUUGAUAAUACAAAUUCCUUUCCUGAGUUUUGUCCCAGUUCUGACCAAGCCUAAGGCUGGCAUUUAAGUUAGGGUCAUUUUUACCAAUACUGCCAAGCUAAAUAUUGAUAAUUGAUAUCAAAGGCCUACACUGUAGCCAUUGAAUAAAAUCUGCUUUUCAAGUCUGUCGUCAUUCAGUGCUUAAAAUUCUAACAAAGAUCAAGAGAUGAUCAUCCUAUAUACAUAAUUCUGAGCUAUCCACACCAUAUUCUUUUGUGAGGUAAAGUCAGACAAGAGAAGUGGGAGAGAUUUGAGAGUGAUGUUGGUUGUUGUUCACCUGGAAAAGAGAUGGGUGAUAGUUUUCAGAGAAGAUUCAGUUUGUUUAUAAGUUAAAGGAGUUUAUUGGCAAAAACUAUACAGCUAAUGCAUAAAAAUGUUGUCAAGCAGAAAGUCCAAAAAAUGUUGAAUUAAGCCUCAUUGUAAUUUAGAUUUAUUCUGAUAAAAAUAUAUUAAGACGUAGUUUUAAAACACCUUGUUUAUAAGACUUUAAAUUUUGAAAUAUCACUGUAUGUUUUUGCCCUUAAUACAGUUUAGACUGAAUUUUCAUUAUGUAAUAGUCAUAUUAAAAAAAUUAAUGGAUUCUGAAUUUGGCUCAAUUGCAAUUUUUUGCUAGGAACAAUUACAGAUUCUUCUAAAAGUAAUUAUAAAGAGAGUCGAUUAUUUGUGUGUGUCUGAGGCUGCCUCUGUAAUGUUAUUGUAACUGGACAAAUUAUAUAAUUGAAAGAAAUAGUAUUUUGCUACUGAAGUGCCAUAUAUAUAGUUGCUGUUCAGAGUGACUUUCAGUUUUGUAGCAGCUUCUUGGGACUGGAAUAUUUCUGCUAGAGGUGGAUCCUGAGUAACCUUUUCCUCAGAACCCUUCUUGUGGGGAAAUGUCAGACUGUUGUUGUACAUCACUUGUAAAGAUCAGUCAUGAGGAAGAGAGAGUGAGUUAACGAGGUCAGGGAGUGUAGAGCCGCCUGUGCCCGCCUAUAUCCAAUAAAGGCCCUGUAUUGCACAACUUGCAGUGGUGUUCAGAGCUCUUCCGUUUGCUGCUGUUCUUUCUGCCAACACUAUUGAUCAGUCCUUUGCCUUGUGUGCACUCCAGUCCAAAAUAAAGCUGUUCCUGCCCAGAGGGGCUUUUGCCUUAUCUCAGUCUCCAUUAUUCUGUGCAGCAGAUCAUUGAUAUGAAUUGAUGUUAACCACACCUAGUCUUUUGGGCUAGAGCUGGCUGGAGUUUGGCGUGUAAGUUCCCUGUAAUUUGCCACACAUUUAGGCACAGCUCCCACCCUAGAGGAGUGUGCUAUUUUGACUGACAGGGAGUCUGUGCUAGUGCAGGAUCUCAUGAGUAGCCCCUAGCUGUGGGAGGAAGUGAGCUGGUACAAGCUGAUGAAUCCAGCUAGUCACACCAGCAAUUGGUGUACAUACAGCAAGCACAGCCUGGCUCUACACACAGUGAGAAGCUGCUGUCAUGUGUGAACUAUCCCCAGACUACCUCCAUCUCUCAGCUUCUCAAUGGAUCUGGUACAUGGCUCAUGUCAGUCAAAUAAAGCUUUGCAUUGUUCACCAGUUCCUGGCUCUCGAUCUUAUCAGCUACAGGAGGUCUUUUCAUGUUUUUUCUUCCCUAUCCAAAGCUUUUUAGUCCUUCACACCUCAAAUUGUAUUGUGAAUUCUGCCCAUCACGGUGGAACUAUUAUCAAUAAUGUCUUUAUGAUAAAGCAGUUAAUAUGCUGCAAGGCUUCAUCACAGAUCAGCUUGUUACAUCACCUUAUAAAUUAGCCCAUAUUGGUUGUGAGAAGUCAUCUUCUGUUAAAUAGCCAGGUUUUGUACCUGUCUGGCAGAGAGAUAAGGUACAAGAGCUUGGUAGACAUUUACUUUAGCAGAGAGCUUGAUCCUGUGUUGACCAUAUAGUUACUGUGAAAAUGCAUCAGAAAUUAUGAUUCUUUCCUUUUUUAGGAGAUCAUUUGUGGUCUCCAAUGACAAGGUGGUUUUAAAUUAAGCAAACUCAUUAAUGACUUAAAACUUGGUUCUAUUGAUAGAUACAAAAUGAAAGUUACAUUUUUUUGCGGAGCUUUCUCAUAAACAGUUAGCAAUUUAUUCAGAGGUAUUCAGUAAGUAAAUCAUUAGCAUGAACGCAUCUUAUUAAUCCCUCUGCAAAGGUGAAUGAAAAAAAUUGACUUUUGCAGUCUAAAUUGAGUCUGAGAACCCUUUUUGGAGGUUACAGAUCAUCGUGCCUCAUGGCCUAAGCAAGACAAGCAGGAUGUGCUUCAAGAUGCAUCCUGUUUUAAUGUUCCUUAUAAAAACAAAGUGCUUAAAAGGGCUUGAUUGACCUUUAUUCUACCUUACAUCUCAUCAUGGAGAUACUUCAAAAUUAAGAACUGCUCUAGGCCAGGAGAGACUUUCCAGGAAUCUUGAAAGUCUGGGUUUCUGAUUGCAUCAGAGGUUUUAAUAAACUCAUUAAAGCAAUGUAAAUGUCUUAAGUUUUACUUCUUCCUUUUCCUGUCUUCUAUGGUGAUAAAUGCUAUAAAAAAAUUCCUAUUGUUUGCCUGAAAACUGCUUUUUGAUUUCGCAAAAUAAGAAUUGGCAGUGUAUGAAUACUGUUAACACUGAUGCUCUAUCACAGAAGUCUUUCAUGUCAUACAACUUGAUCUAGAUUCAGUGACAAACAGCCUUUAAUUCAGUUUGUCAGCAGGUAUGUCUGACUAAGAUAACGAGUCUGAGAAAUACGUGUUUCCUUUCCAAACAGAAGCUGACUGGCCUUAUUACUGCUGGCAAAUCAGCUGGGAUGCUUUCACUUCAUACUGUCAAACCAUCCCUGUAUCAAAUGACAAGCCUCAUCUGCGCUAUUUCUUCAAAUAAAGCACAGUCUCUCUGACUUUGCACAGUCAACCUCACUAGCUAUUUUUAUUCAGCACAGCAGCUAUGGCAGUUGCCCUUCAGCAUUACUUUGCAUUCUGGAAGAAGGUUUCAUAAUUUUUUCCUCUGUGCUUAGAAGUUUCAGAUGGUAGCUGUAACUGACUGCAAUAACGCUUGGUUUGACCACAGGAAAAGAAACAAGUAUUAAGCAGACACAGCAUGUGAUGUCUUUCAGGAAAACACGCAAUUUUUAGAAGUUUACCUAGUAAUCUUAAUUCCCAGUUGCGAGUUAUCUGUACAAGCACAGAAGAGCACUGUUGCCUUUUUAUGAUUUUUUUUUUUACAGCACCCUGUAUUCUAGGCUGGCUGUACACAGCUUUAUCCUCACAUUACCACCCUUCUGCCUGCAUACUUUUCUACAGGAUUUGCUCCCAGCACUGGCAACUGCAGGACAUCACUUACAUUGAAAGAGCUAUAACAGCUUAUACAGCACCAUCAUGGAUCUUUUUCUGGGUCAAUACAUGACUGUGCUAAGUGUCUCCACUUCUGUGAACUUAUUAUUUAGAGGUUUUCACCGUUUUUGUAACCCAAAAUUUGCAUGUUAAAAUUAAACUUAUUCAAAAAAUGUCAGCUGUGAAUUCUGAAAAAGCCACAUACAUAGUUUAACUGGUCAGCCAAGCCUGUUUCCCAGGGAAUUGCUGACAGACAAAAUCAUGACUACCAAAAUCAUGUUCUUGGUAAAAUCAGCUUUUGUAAGCAACUCUUUCUCCUCUAAAUUCUGGCAAUAAGAUGUAAUUAAUUUCUAUGUCUAAAUUCAGUUUGACUUCCAUUCAUUGAAGAAUAUUCAGCUCAAAACAAGUGGUAGGAAAUAGGUUACAUCCUGCUGCCAGUCCAAUAUAGAAUGCCAUUUAGAAUUUAAAGGCAAACGUCAUUUAUGCAAUGCUCUGAUGAAAAAGAAGUGCUACCUGUAAUAGCAGACAAUUUGGUACACAAUGUACAGUUAUUUGUACAUUUUGAAAAGCUUUUUACAAUGAGCUGUAUAAUCAAACCAGUUUUGUGUUGUAUAUCAGUCCUGGGAAAAUACUAAUCCAAUCAGAAUCCUUAAGGCUGACUAAUGCUAAUGCUUACUGAAUAGAAGUUUUCACAGUUGCA